rnacentral:rRNA from 1 species
AUGCUGCAGGAGGAUGCGGGUAUUGAUGAAGAUGUGAACCAUCAGAUCAAAGCCGGAUGGAUGAAGUGGCGCCAAGCUUCUGGCAUUCUCUGUGACAAGAGAGUGCCACAAAAGCUAAAAGGCAAGUUCUACAGGACGGCGGUUCGACCCGCAAUGUUGUAUGGAGCUGAGUGUUGGCCGACUAAAAGGCGACAUGUUCAACAGUUAGGUGUGGCGGAGGUGCGUAUGUUGAGAUGGAUGUGUGGCCACACGAGGAAGAAGCGAGUCCGGAAUGAUGAUAUACGAGAUAUAGUUGGGGUAGCACCAAUUGAAGAGAAGCUUGUCCAACAUCGUCUGAGAUGGUUUGGGCAUAUUCAGCGCAGGCCUCCAGGAGCUCCAAUGCAUAGUGGACGGCUAAAGCGUGCAGAGAAUGUCAAGAGAGGGUGGGGUAGACCGAAUUUGACAUGGGAGGAGUCCGUUAAGAGAGACCUGAAGGAUUGGAGUAUGACCAAAGAGCUAGCUAUGGACAGGGGUGCGUGGAAGCUUGCUAUCCAUGUGCCAGAGCCAUGA